rnacentral:rRNA from 1 species
ACGAACGCUGGCGGCGUGCUUAACACAUGCCAGUCGAACGGUGAAGCCCUUCGGGGUGGAUCAGUGGCGAACGGGUGAGUAACACGUGAGCAACCUGCCCCUGGCUCUGGGACAACCACUGGAAACGGUGGCUAAUACCGGAUACGACCCGCCUCGGCAUCGAGUGUGGGUGGAAAGUUUUUCGGCUGGGGAUGGGCUCGCGGCCUAUCAGCUUGUUGGUGAGGUGAAGGCUCACCAAGGCGACGACGGGUAGCCGGCCUGAGAGGGCGACCGGCCACACUGGGACUGAGACACGGCCCAGACUCCUACGGGAGGCAGCAGUGGGGAAUAUUGCACAAUGGGCGAAAGCCUGAUGCAGCGACGCCGCGUGAGGGAUGACGGCCUUCGGGUUGUAAACCUCUUUCAGCUCCGAAGAAGCGAAAGUGACGGUAGGAGCAGAAGAAGCACCGGCUAACUACGUG